rnacentral:rRNA from 1 species
AGAUUGAACGCUAGCGGGAUGCCUUACACAUGCAAGUCGAACGGCAGCACGGACUUCGGUCUGGUGGCGAGUGGCGAACGGGUGAGUAAUAUAUCGGAACGUGCCCAGUAGCGGGGGAUAACUACGCGAAAGCGUAGCUAAUACCGCAUACGCCCUUAGGGGGAAAGCAGGGGAUCGCAAGACCUUGCACUAUUGGAGCGGCCGAUAUCGGAUUAGCUAGUUGGUGAGGUAAUGGCUCACCUAAGGCUGCGAUCCGUAGCUGGUUUGAGAGGACGACCAGCCACACUGGGACUGAGACCACGGCCCAGACCUCCGUACGGGGAGGCCUAAGCAGGUGGGGUAAUUUUGGGACUAAGGUCGGGGGAAACCCUGGUACU